rnacentral:rRNA from 1 species
CCUACGGGAGGCAGCAGUGGGGGAUAUUGCACAAUGGGGGGAACCCUGAUGCAGCGACGCCGCGUGGGUGAAGAAGCGCCUCGGCGCGUAAAGCCCUGUCAGCAGGGAAGAAAAUGAUGGUACCUGAAGAAGAAGCCCCGGCUAACUACGUGCCAGCAGCCGUGGUAAUACGUAGGGGGCAAGCGUUAUCCGGAUUUACUGGGUGUAAAGGGGGCGCAGACGGCGUUGCAAGCCAGGAGUGAAAGUCCUGGGCCCAACCCCGGGACUGCUGUUGGAACUGCGUGGCUGGAGUGCAGGAGGGGCAGGCGGAAUGCCUGGUGUAGCGGUGAAAUGCAUAGAUAUCAGGAAGAACACCGGUGGCGAAGGCAGCCUGCUGGACUGCAACUGACGUUGAGGCCCGAAAGCGUGGGGAGCAAACAGGAUUAGAUACCCCUGUAGUC